GAUUUGGCGGCAAGAUAGCCAUUUAGAGGAACCUGCCCUGUAAACGAUGAGCCACGAAUUACUCUACUCUUUCUUGAAAUUCAGUUUGUAUAUCGCUGUUGUCAGUUAGUUUCUUUAGAAAACUUUCGUAAAUGAAAAGAUCAAUGACUUCAAGUAAAGGUGCAGCUUAUGAAAGAGAUAGAGGUGGGUUACAUUUAAUAGAAUAAUAUGAAUAAAAUUUUGAAAUAAGUUUUUGAAAGUGGAUUUAAUUGUAAAGUUUAUUAAGAUUUGAUUUGAGCUCUAUCUUGUGUACACAC
rnacentral:rRNA from 1 species